rnacentral:tRNA from 1 species
UACCUGGGUGGACGCCCGGGGCGGCCCCCCGGUUCGGGGCCGGGCCGGUACGCCGGUGCUCAGUUCGGGUUCUGGGUCGGGCGC